rnacentral:rRNA from 1 species
UACGUAGAAGACUAGUGUUAUUCAUCUUUAAUAGGUUUAAAGGGUACCUAGACGGUAUAAUUAGUCUUUAACAGGAAACGGUUAUACUAGAGUUAUAUAUGAGGAGGUGAGUAUUUGUGGAGUAGAGUUGAAAUUCUUUGAUACCAUGAAGACUGGUAAAGGCGAAAGCAACCUUUUAUCUAAUAACUGACGUUGAGGGACGAAGUCUCGGGUCGCGAACAGG